AUUGAACGCUGGCGGCAGGCCUAACACAUGCAAGUUGAACGAGUGGCAGACGGGUGAGUAAUGUCUGGGAAACUGCCUGAUGGAGGGGGAUAAAUACUGGAAACGGUAGAUAAUACCGCAUCCCAUCAGAUGUGCCCAGAUGGGAUUAUCUUGUUGGUGGGGUAACGGCUAACCAAGUCGACGAUACCUAGCUGGUCUGAGAGGAUGACCAGCCACACUGGAACUGAGACACGGUCCAGACUCCUACGGUCGGCAGCAGUGGGGAAUAUUGCACAAUGGGCGCAAGCCUGAUGCAGCCAUGCCGCGUGUAUGAAGAAGGCCUUCGGGUUGUAAAGUACUUUCAGCGGGGAGGCGUUACCCGCAGAAGAAGCACCGGCUAACUCCGUGCCAGCAGCCGCGGUAAUAC
rnacentral:rRNA from 1 species